rnacentral:rRNA from 1 species
GGCGGCGUGCUUAACACAUGCAAGUCGAACGGAAAGGCCCUUUCGGGGGUACUCGAGUGGCGAACGGGUGAGUAACACGUGGGUGAUCUGCCCUGCACUUCGGGAUAAGCUUGGGAAACUGGGUCUAAUACCGGAUAGGACUACGAGAUGCAUGUCUUGUGGUGGAAAGCUUUUGCGGUGUGGGAUGGGCCCGCGGCCUAUCAGCUUGUUGGUGGGGUGAUGGCCUACCAAGGCGACGACGGGUAGCCGGCCUGAGAGGGUGUCCGGCCACACUGGGACUGAGAUACGGCCCAGACUCCUACGGGAGGCAGCAGUGGGGAAUAUUGCACAAUGGGCGCAAGCCUGAUGCAGCGACGCCGCGUGGGGGAUGACGGCCUUCGGGUUGUAAACCUCUUUCACCAUCGGCGAAGCCGGGAGCUUUUGUUUUCGGUGACGGUAGGUGGAGAAGAAGCACCGGCCAACUACGUGCCAGCAGCCGCGGUAAUACGUAGGGUGCGAGCGUUGUCCGGAAUUACUGGGCGUAAAGAACUCGUAGGUGGUUUGUCGCGUUGUCCGUGAAAUUCCCUGGCUUAACUGGGGGCGUGCGGGCGAUACGGGCAGACUGGA